rnacentral:rRNA from 1 species
AUUGAACGCUGGCGGCAGGCCUAACACAUGCAAGUCGAGCGAGCGGCGGACGGGUGAGGAAUGUCUGGGAAACUGCCUGAUGGCGGGGGAUCACUACUGGAAACGGUAGCUAAUACCGCAUACCAUCAGAUGUGCCCAGGGGGGAUUAGCUGGUAGGUGGGGUAACGGCUCACCUAGGCGACGAUCCCUAGCUGGUCUGAGAGGAUGACCAGCCACACUGGGACUGAGACACGGUCCAGACUCCUACGGGAGGCAGCAGUGGGGAAUAUUGCGCAAUGGGCGAAAGCCUGAUGCAGCCAUGCCGCGUGUGUGAAGAAGGCCUUCGGGUUGUAAAGCACUGUCAGCGGGGAGGCGUUACCCGCAGAAGAAGCACCGGCUAACUCCGUGCCAGCAGCCGCGGUAAUAC